rnacentral:lncRNA from 1 species
AAAAAUGUCUUGUUUGUUUUUUAAAAAAUGUCUUGCUUGUAGAAAAGAAUAAAAGAAAAACCGAGCAAGCAUUGAAAAGAAAAAUGUAGAAAAGAAACAUCUCUUUUGUAAAUAUGAUGUGAAAGAAAAGAACAAAAAUAGAAAGAAUGAAAAUGAAUGCUUGCUUGGAAGAAAAAUAGUGAAAAAUAAAAAUUGAGUUGUGGAAUAUGAGUU